UACGUAGGGUGCGAGCGUUAAUCGGAAUUACUGGGCGUAAAGCGUGCGCAGGCGGUUCGUUAAGUCCGAUGUGAAAGCCCCGAGCUUAACUUGGGAAUGGCAUUGGAAACUGGCGGGCUGGAGUGUGGCAGAGGGGGGUGGAAUUCCACGUGUAGCAGUGAAAUGCGUAGAUAUUGGGAGGAACACCAGUGGCGAAGGCGGCUCACUGGACCGGAACUGACGCUGAGGCGCGAAAGCGUGGGGAGCAAACGGG
rnacentral:rRNA from 1 species